GGCACUCUUUAUUUAUAUUUACAGGUACAAAAAAUUUUGGCAAGGGCUCAUUAAUCUCUACAUUUUGAGGCUUCAAAAUGGUUUCAUUACUUACAAAAUACGUAUCAAUUGCUGUUGAAAUGUUCCUACAUUGCAUUAUAAGUACAGUGCCAGAUACCAGUUUACAGAUUAAGCCCAGCAAAAACAUACAAUAGAACUAAGCUAACAUCUGGCUAGUGAAAACAAAUGGCGGAAGCUGUUUCUACACAUAUGCCAUUUGAAAAUUAAAUACAUAUCAUUGCAAAUAAAUGGUUAAAUGGCAAGCAAUAUAUAAAAAGAAUAAACCAUACACAAGCCGGGGUUUCCUAAGUUUGCAUGUGUCUAGACGAUUACAGCAUUAGACCACUAGGGGACAAAAAGGCACUAUAAUGACAACAUCUUAUUACUACAGGAUAAAUGUAUGAAUAAACAGCAAAAAGGGCAGAUGCUUCAAAGAAAAACUCCAGUUUUUAUACAGACUUAUUUUGUAAGGGAUACAUAUUAGCUAAUAACUCUUUUAUGGCAUUUCCUGGCUUACCCGUGCUCCAAGGGUAGUCUUCUCUGGUCAGAAACAGCAACUAUCUGCAAAGACCAUUAAAGUGCAGUUUUGAGAUUCCUGAUGGUUGCGCAUUAUGUCAGGACUCAUAAAUGCACACUAGCUAUUGCUUACUUGCAGAGUUUUGGCAGAUAAGCAAAGACCCACGAUGGUUGAUAUUGCCGCAUUGGCCUUGGGAUGCAGUGGAAGGUAGAUUUUACUAACUUUUAAUCUGUGUGGGCAGCGACAUGUCCAUCCCUCAUUAUGUUCCUGGUGCUUCAUCUUCUAGGAGCCCAUGUCAGUACUGAUGUCUUGCGGGAUCCUCCAUAGACAAUGCUUGUUUCCUCACAGCCGUCAAUAGUGACAGCUGGGGGAAUUUAAAAAAAUUUGAUGGCGGUAACUUUGCCUUUUGUCAAGUGGAGGGAAAAUGCAUCAAACAAAGUAGUCCCUAAUUUUUCUUAUGAUGCAUUUAGAUCUUUAAACUGCAUUAGAAUAUCAAUUACAUUUCAACAGUCUAUGUGAGCAUUUCAUAAAGACUUUAUCAUUCUGAAAUACAAAUUUUGGGGUGUGUGACAGAUCCUCUUUAAAGAUGACUGCUCCCUUAAAGGAUCACUAUAGGUUCAGGAACGCAAACAUGUAUUCCUGACCCUAUAGUGUUAAAACCACCACCUAGCCCCCCUGGGCCCCCUCCUGCCUCCAUAAAUAUAACAAAAUCUUACGGUAUUAAAGCUUGAAGCUGUAACUCUGCAUGCUGUUUGCCUCAGAAAAACAAGCAGUCUGCUGACAUCAUCAGAAAUGGUAGCCUGAUCCAAUCACAAUGUUUCUCCAUAGGAUUGGCUGAGACUGACAAGGAGGCAGAUCAGGCGCAGAGCCAGCAUGAUUCAAACACAGCCCUGACCAAUCAGCAUCUCCUCAUAGAGAUGAAUUGAAUCAAUGAAUCUCUAUGAGGAAAGUUCAGUGUCUGCAUGCAGAGGGAGGAGAUACUGAAUGUUUGGAUGCAUUUUAGGCAGCCAUGACCCAGGAAGGAUCUCUACAGCCAUCUGAGGAGUGGCCAGUGAAGUUAUCACUAGGCUGUAAUGUAAACACUGCAUUUUCUCUAAAAAGACAGCGUUUACAGCAAAAAGCCUGAAGGUAAUGAUUAUACUCACCAGAACAAAUGCAAUAAGCUGUAGUUGUUCUGGUGACUAUAGUGUCCCUUUAAAGUGUAGGUAACAUUGAAGAUACACUAAAAAUAUGUAUCAACUUAUAAAAAUUAUGACCGUUUACACAAUUUAACUUUAAAAAAACAAACAAAAACUAGGUAGGAUCUUUAUUGCAGAUUGUCUUAAUGUGGUUGUGGUGUAUCCAUCAUAAAGUGUUAAAAAGGAACCAUAAGUAAAGCAGGCAUAAAUAAAAUAGCACCUAUUUAAUUAUUUGUAAAAAAAAAUAAUUUUUUUUAAACAAUACGUGAUUAAAUUGCAAUAUGUUCUCAUUUUCAGUAAAUCAACCCCCUUAGUUGUUUUUGAAAGGAUGUGUAAGCCUUCACUGAUCGAACUCAUGACAGUGCUUACAUGUAACAGUGAAUUUCUUAGCAUACAGGUGAAAGAAUUUAUAAAACAUUUGACAUUUUGUACCAGUUUCUGUAACAUGAGUUAAAUUAAGGAGCUUUAUAGAAGGAUUUUAAAACAGCAUUGUGAAAAUUCUAAAAUUGAUUUUUAAGAUUAAAUGUCUUGCUUUUCCUGUAACCUCUGUUCACUUUAAAUAUUGGAUAUUAUCAUAAUGCUUAUCACAUAGAAUUAAAAUUUAAAGUCAUGUCAUGUUCAAAAUUACAAAAAAAAAAACAACCAAGGAAACCCGCCCCCCCCCCCCAAAAAAAAACCAUGUCAUAAUCUUAACACUGGGAAACAAACUAAACAAAUAAUUUGAAGCUAAAAAAAAAGAACUUCUUGUAUAACUCUAAAAUAAAUAUACUUACAUGUAUUUCAAUUAGCUUUAUAUAAAAAAUCUGGACAAUAAAUCCAAUAGUUAUUGGAUGGACUAAUGCAGAAUAAUAAAAAUCAUAUUUACCUGUUUAGUUUUCAAUAUAACGAUAUAUUUGAUGUGAUUUAAAAGUACCCUAAUAUAAAAAUGGCUUCAAAGGGUGCAAUUUAUUUAUUAACAGUGACACCUACUGGUGAAAACUGGAAUUGUUACAUAGAAACAUAGAAUGUGACGGCAGAUAAGAACCAUUCGGCCCAUCUAGUCUGCCCAAUUUUCUAAAAACUUUCAUUAGUCCCUAGCCUUAUCUUAUAGUUAGGAUAGCCUUAUGCCUAUCCCAUGCAUGCUUAAACUCCUUUACUGUGUUAACCUCUACCACUUCAGCUGGAAGGCUAUUCCAUGCA